AGAGUUUGAUCAUGGCUCAGAACGAACGCUGGCGGCAUGCCUAACACAUGCAAGUCGAACGCCUGUAGCAAUACAGGAGUGGCGCACGGGUGAGUAACGCGUGGGAACCUGCCCUGGAGUGGGGGAUAACCGAGAGAAAUUUCGGCUAAUACCGCAUACGACCUGAGGGUGAAAGAUUUAUCGCUCUUGGAGGGGCCCGC
rnacentral:rRNA from 1 species